ACGAGAUCCUGCGGUUAAGUGUGUACGGAAGGGGGGAAGCCGCAUGAAUGUAGACAUAUCCCGACCCUGGUCAUAUUAGCAUAACUUUGAAGGGGCGAUUUUUGUGCGGUUUGUGAGGCGGAAUCCCCAUUUACGAUGCGAAGACCAAUUGCAGGCGGCACGGGUGGCUUCGAACCCAGGCCAGUUCAGACAAGCUUCCAAACUUGCAGCUGCGGAGGUCCCCUGUGUUGUGAGGACCCCACCCCACCCGGGUCAGAGCAGAAAGUCUCUGAAAAGUCACCAGUAAAUACAGCUGAAGAGGUAUUUCCAGGUUUAAUCAUCUGCUAAGAACACCACUCCCUGCCAUCUCCUUCUGUGGAAGCACACAGGCCCCUGAACUCUAGCACGGUGUCGUGUGAAAAGCCUCUGAUUACAGUGACAGAUCACCACGUUUCAAAGGAGAUGCCAUGAUAACCACCAGGAAGACCGAAGUCCCCUGUUAAUCCAUAAGCAUCUACGUGUGAUGGAAUUGGAGCUCCUCUGUAAUAAUUUAUGAAUGUUGUGUAUUGACUUGGUUAUUGGGAUGUCUGCUGCAUUAAUUUAUUUUUAGUUUAAUAGGAGGCACAAACAAGAAGGAAGGGAAGAAGAAUGGUUCAGGAUAAGUCACUUUUCAACAAACACUGAAGGGGUGAACUGGUUUUGACAGCAGGGCCAAGGCCCGGGAGCCAGAAAAUCAAAAGAACUCUAGCAGUUUAAAAAGGGACUCCCUCUCAAGAGGAAGGGGGCUGCUCAGGGAAUUGUUUGGGGGGGGGACUGUACCAAAGACACCCUUUGGGUGUCUGGAGAAGGUAGGCCUGCAUAGGUUACCAUCAGAGCAUGAUAACACUUUAGGUAAGAUAGGCAUGCUUGUAGAUGGUUGGUUGUUUUAAAAUCCUCUCUCUCUAAAUGCUUUGGUCCUCCUGUUCAAAUAAAUGAUGCUUUGGUUUAAGAA